rnacentral:snRNA from 1 species
ACUAAAUUCUUUUUCAUCUC